UGGGGAAUAUUGCACAAUGGGCGAAAGCCUGAUGCAGCAACGCCGCGUGAGUGAUGAAGGUCUUCGGAUUGUAAAGCUCUGUCUUUUGGGACGAUAAUGACGGUACCAAAGGAGGAAGCCACGGCUAACUACGUGCCAGCAGCCGCGGUAAUACGUAGGUGGCGAGCGUUGUCCGGAUUUACUGGGCGUAAAGGGUGCGUAGGCGGAUGUUUAAGUGAGAUGUGAAAUACCCGGGCUUAACUUGGGUGCUGCAUUUCAAACUGGAUAUCUAGAGUGCAGGAGAGGAGAAUGGAAUUCCUAGUGUAGCGGUGAAAUGCGUAGAGAUUAGGAAGAACACCAGUGGCGAAGGCGAUUCUCUGGACUGUAACUGACGCUGAGGCACGAAAGCGUGGGUAGCAAACAGGAUUAGAUGCCCUGGUAGUCCACGCCGUAAACGAUGAGUACUAGGUGUAGGAGGUAUCGACCCCUUCUGUGCCGCAGUAAACACAUUAAGUACUCCGCCUGGGAAGUACGAUCGCAAGAUUAAAACUCUAAAGUGAAUUGAC
rnacentral:rRNA from 1 species